UACAGAGGGUGCAAGCGUUAAUCGGAAUUACUGGGCGUAAAGCGUGCGCAGACGGUCUCGUAAGUCGGGUGUGAAAUCCCCGGGCUCAACCUGGGAAUUGCAUUCGAAACUGCGAGGCUAGGGUACGGAAGAGGGAAGCGGAAUUUCUGGUGUAGCGGUGAAAUGCGUAGAUAUCUGGAGGAACACCGGUGGCGAAGGCGGCAUCCUGGACCAAUACUGACGCUGAGGAGCGAAAGCCAGGGGAGCAAACGGG
rnacentral:rRNA from 1 species